rnacentral:lncRNA from 1 species
GUUUUUUGGAAGAAUACAUCAUGGAAGGGUCUUAAUAUGUGGCAGGGCUCUUAAAUUUAUUUUAAUGUAUUCAAAUUAAGUAUUUUUAAACUGUUGAGUCCAAAGUGAAAAAUUUGGGAAACUUGACAGCUAUCAAUGCUAGGUGGCAUAUUGACCUUAACUAGGAAAUGCUGUUUCUUUGAAAAAGGAAAUAGAAAUGCCCUAUGGCUGUUUCUAGCCUAAAAAACUUUGUGGGGUUCAUUCAAGGCUCUAGAUAUAAUAAAAGGCUGAGAAAACUGAAUAGUGGUAGACAGCAGAGUUCCUGUAAAUUGGACACAAAUAACCAGAGGAGCUGGCCUGUCUCUGUUACCAAAACAGCUCGGGUCCUUUGGGAAGAAAAAGCAAUUUGUUUGGCAGUCCUGCUGAGCAUUGCUGACAGUCAGCUUAGAAGAUCAGAGAAGUGGAAUGGAAACCUUCUUGGCUCCACUUGUAGGAGGAAAGGGAAAUCUGUACUGGAUUUCUAA